AUUUUUUUUUUUCCUGUAAAUGUGAGUUGUUCCUCCAUCAUUAGCACAUUUAGCAGCACAUUUACGAGGAUGAUUGGCAGCGCUAAGACCCUCCUUCUGGCUCUGAUUGGUUGUUUUUGACCGGGAGCGACGCAUUUGUUCAGACCGUGAUAGUAGAUCAGGGAGGAGGUGAAGGUUGAUCUUUUUACAGAUUAUUUUUCUCAUGAUGACAGUUUUAGCAAAUAUGUAAGAAGUAUUUUUUUUUAAUAAAAGUUACAUACUGCACCUUUAUGUCAAUGAUUUCUUAUUAUUGAUGAAAAAUUACAAGUUCUACUGACAGAUUUUUUCUUUUAUAACAAGACAAAACACACCCUGCCUGUGGAACGAGUUCUUUUAAGGAAUUAUUGACUUAAAACAAGCUCCUGUAUCUUGCUGAAUAGUUACUUAUAAGUCUUAUUUUGAGUGUACUAAGAAACUAGACCAAAAUAAUUUCAUAACAUUUUGUAUUUUUGCAGUGAAAGCAGCGGUGAGGAACUUCACACGGCUGGGUUUGGUUCCAGCAGGAUGGAGGUAGAGCGGGUCAAACGUAAACACCAGACUAACAUGCAGAAAUAAGCCAGAGGACGAGGUUACUAAAGUAAGGAAGAAAGAUGCAGUUCAGUCAUGCUGGUUGAUGCUUUUGAAACACGUAAAACUUUGUAUUCAAUCCAGCAGUUCAGGAAAAGAUCCUUCAAACAGGCAUCAGAGAUUCAGUUUGAGCUGUUGCCUAACCUGUAAUGUUUGCUCCACGAAGACGCUGCGUUUAUUUAUUAUUUCUGAGACGUGAAGCCAGCCAAUCUGGUGUUUUCCGAUUCCUGUCGCUAAUCUUAGUUUGAGGAUGAAGAGGCAGACAGAUUCACGUGUCAACAAAUGAUUAAAAUACUGUUUCAUAAAAUCAGCGCCCAGCUAAGAGAGGGCAGAAAAACAACAUUCAUGAUGUCUGCAGGUGAAUUUGCUGCCUUGCAGAUAUCUUUGUGAACUGCUUAUAUUUGCUGUAGGGACUCAGAGUGACGAAGAUGAGCUUUUUUCCAGUUUUAUAAACAAUUUAAAAACUUUGAUGUGCAGAUUUCCAUGUCUUUGUUGUUUAAAACUAUUCAUACCUAUUGAGCAUUCACACACUCUAUCUUGUUAGAACUUAAAUGUAAUUUCUUUGGGUUUCGUUUGCUAUUGACCCUUUGCACAUGACGUCACGCUCUUCGAAACCCCGCCCACUCCGCCAAUACGCUCCUGGUUAUUGUAAAGCCCAUCAAAAACACACAUCUGGUAGCCUAAUAUUGCUUUUGUGCGGUUGAUUUCGCAAUAAAAAUGGUCACAGGAGGCUGGGCGGUCGGCUGCACAAACAGACAAGGAUGGAAACCAAACGUGUAAUUUUAUUUUAUAACUUAAUGAGGAAAGUUGCGGUGGCGAUGGACAGCAGCUGUUAAUGACAAUGACUGACAGCUCUCGGUGUAAGCGCGGAUUUGCAGCGAUCGCUUUUUACAAAGGGCAGCCAUUGAUCCAGAGCUCUGCUGAAGAGGAUAUUGACAAACGUGGCAGACUCAGAUGAGCCGCUGUCCGCCACCUCAGUCAGUUUCUGCUCCGGUUCUUCAUCAUAAUCAGCUCAUCUGCUUCUGAUCAGUUGAGUCGUGCCAGCUGACCUCUGCUCAACCUUUUGCUUACGUCCAAAGGUGUUAGGCACCAAGUUGUUGCAUUCCUGUUUAUUUGGGUUUGACGAGCUGAUCGGCGGGAGAUCCGGUUGAUUUUAACACCUCUGCAGUUCAGCUGUGGCACUUUCCCUCUAAUACCAUUAAUAAACA